UACGUAGGGGGCGAGCGUUGUCCGGAAUUAUUGGGCGUAAAGAGCGUGUAGGCGGUUCGGUAAGUCUGCCGUGAAAACCUGGGGCUCAACCCUGGGCGUGCGGUGGAUACUGCCGGGCUAGAGGGUGGUAGAGGCGAGUGGAAUUCCCGGUGUAGCGGUGAAAUGCGCAGAUAUCGGGAGGAACACCAGUAGCGAAGGCGGCUUCCUGGCCUGUUCUUGACGCUGAGGCGCGAAAGCUAGGGGAGCAAACGGG
rnacentral:rRNA from 1 species